AUUGAACGCUGGCGGCAGGCCUAACACAUGCAAGUCGAGCGGUAGAGAGAAGCUUGCUUCUCUUGAGAGCGGCGGACGGGUGAGUAAUGCCUAGGAAUCUGCCUGGUAGUGGGGGAUAACGUUCGGAAACGGACGCUAAUACCGCAUACGUCCUACGGGAGAAAGCAGGGGACCUUCGGGCCUUGCGCUAUCAGAUGAGCCUAGGUCGGAUUAGCUAGUUGGUGAGGUAAUGGCUCACCAAGGCGACGAUCCGUAACUGGUCUGAGAGGAUGAUCAGUCACACUGGAACUGAGACACGGUCCAGACUCCUACGGGAGGCAGCAGUGGGGAAUAUUGGACAAUGGGCGAAAGCCUGAUCCAGCCAUGCCGCGUGUGAAGAAGGUCUUCGGAUUGUAAAGCACUUUAAGUUGGGAGGAAGGGCAGUUACCUAAUACGUGAUUGUUUGACGUUACCGACAGAAUAAGCACCGGCUAACUCUGUGCCAGCAGCCGCGGUAAU
rnacentral:rRNA from 1 species